UACGUAGGUGGCGAGCGUUGUUCGGAUUUAUUGGGCGUAAAGGGUCCGCAGGAGGUUUGUUAAAAUUGGGGUGAAAUCCCGGAGCUCAACUCCGGAACUGCCUUGAUGACUGAUGAACUAGAGUGCUGGAGAGGUAAGCGGAAUACCAGGUGUAGCGGUGGAAUGCGUAGAUAUCUGGUAGAACACCGAUAGCGAAGGCAGCUUACUGGACAGCAACUGACUCUCAUGGACGAAAGCGUGGGGAGCAAACAGGAUUAGAUACCCUGGUAGUCCACGCCGUAAACGUUGUCAACUUGAUGUGGGGGGAUUUAGUCCCCUCCGUAUCGAAGCUAACGCGAUAAGUUGACCGCCUGGGGACUACGGCCGCAAGGCUAAA
rnacentral:rRNA from 1 species